GGGCCCGUAGUCUAGCGGUAUGAUGCCCCCCUGACGCGGGGGUGGUCCCGGGUUCAAAUCCCGGCGGGCCCACCA
rnacentral:tRNA from 1 species